rnacentral:rRNA from 1 species
UGGGGAAUAUUGGACAAUGGGCGCAAGCCUGAUCCAGCAAUGCCGCGUGUGUGAAGAAGGCCCUCGGGUUGUAAAGCACUUUUAUCAGGAGCGAAAUCUGCAAGGCUAAUACCCUUGUAGUCUGACGGUACCUGAGGAAUAAGCACCGGCUAACUCCGUGCCAGCAGCCGCGGUAAUACGGAGGGUGCAAGCGUUAAUCGGAAUUACUGGGCGUAAAGCGUGUGUAGGCGGUUUGUUAAGUCUGUUGUGAAAGCCCCGGGCUCAACCUGGGAAUGGCAAUGGAUACUGGCAAGCUAGAGUGUGAUAGAGGAUGGUGGAAUUCCCGGUGUAGCGGUGAAAUGCGUAGAGAUCGGGAGGAACAUCAGUGGCGAAGGCGGCCAUCUGGAUCAACACUGACGCUGAGACACGAAAGCGUGGGGAGCAAAACAGGAUUAGAUACCCUGGUAGUCCACGCCCUAAAACGAUGCGAACUGGAUGUUGGUCUCAACUCGGAGAUCAGUGUCGAAGCUAACGCGUUAAGUUCGCCGCCUGGGGAGUACGGUCGCAAGACUGAAACUCAAAAUGAAUUGACGGGGUCAUAGCUGUUUCCUG